UCCGUCGAUCAAUAAUGGCACUUGGCUGGGUCUGGAGUUCUCUUUGGGUAGUCAUAUUUGGUGGGUGGCUUUGGGCUGUCUCCAAGCACCUGUUUAAAACUUCCGGCUGGCUGUUGGUUUGUGGGUGAUAUGUCGUACUCCUUUUCAAUUUAGUACCCUGCAUAUGGAAUAACUUUGUCCAAAAUAUGCUCUUGAAGAUGCAAGUAGAAUUUGUCACA
rnacentral:lncRNA from 1 species